rnacentral:rRNA from 1 species
GUAGGUGGCAAGCGUUGUCCGGAAUUAUUGGGCGUAAAGCGCGCGCAGGCGGUCCUUUAAGUCUGACGUGAAAGCCCACGGCUCAACCGUGGAGGGUCAUUGGAAACUGGAGAACUUGAGUACAGAAGAGGAAAGCGGAAUUCCACGUGUAGCGGUGAAGUGCGUAGAGAUGUGGAGGAACACCAGUGGCGAAGGCGGCUUUCUGGUCUGUAACUGACGCUGAGGCGCGAAAGCGUGGGGAGCAAACAGGAUUAGAUACCCUGGUAGUCCACGCCGUAAACGAUGAGUGCUAAGUGUUAGGGGGGUUUCCGCCCCCCUUAGUGCUGCAGCUAACGCAUUAAGCACUCCGCCUGGGAGUACGGCCGCAAGGCUG